rnacentral:ncRNA from 1 species
CACUCUCCUAACAGUGCUGGCUUGACCUUGUCGAUGACAGCUGAAGUCUUCGUGUAUGUGCCGGCGACAGAAGCCCCGGUGAACGGCAGCUGUAAUUAUAACGGUCCUAAGGUAGCGAAAUUCCUUGUCGAGUAAGUUCCGACCCGCACGACAGGUG